rnacentral:rRNA from 1 species
CCUACGGGAGGCAGCAGUGAGGAAUAUUGGUCAAUGGACGAGAGUCUGAACCAGCCAAGUAGCGUGAAGGAUGACUGCCCUAUGGGUUGUAAACUUCUUUUAUAAAGGACUAAAACGAGGCACGUGUGCCUUUUUGCAUGUACUUUAUGAAUAAGGAUCGGCUAACUCCGUGCCAGCAGCCGCGGUAAUACGGAGGAUCCGAGCGUUAUCCGGAUUUAGUGGGUUUAAAGGGAGCGUAGAUGGGUUGUUAAGUCAGUUGUGAAAGUUUGCGGCUCAACCGUAAAAUUGCAAUUGAUACUGGCAGUCUUGAGUACAGUUGAGGUAGGCGGAAUGCGUGGUGUAGCGGUGAAAUGCUUAGAUAUCACGAAGAACCCCGAUUGCGAAGGCAGCUUACUAAACUGUGACUGACAUUGAUGCUCGAAAGCGUGGGUAUCAAACAGGAUUAGAUACCCCAGUAGUC